UUUCAGGUGUGAGAGAAGGUAAAUAUAUUAUGGGUGUUUGCCUAGGAGUAGUAGCAAGUUAGGUAUUGGUCAUGACUCAUGAAAUGUGUUGUACAAAAGUAAUUGGUUUCUAUAUAUGUGUACUCGUAUACAUAGUCACCCCCCCCCCCCCACACACACACACACACUAAAAAGAGGUUAUACUCUUUAGCUAGUUAACAUGCAUGCUUACUUAAAGGAAAAACAUAUCUUGAAGUUAAAAGUCUCAACAUACCUAUGGCUAUAACUAUCCAAAAUUGCCUUUCCUUGCUCCUUUUCCCUCAAAUAUUCCUAAUCUAAGUGAAAUAAUAACACUAAACAGAAUGGUUGUUACGUAUUGUUUCAUAAUGUAUUGAGUAUCGUAUUAUAUUAUGUUUUGUUAUAUUAUAUUAUAUUAUUUUAAUGAAUAUUAUGGAUAGAUUGUAUCGCUCUUCGUCGUUACAUAAUAUAAUUUGAAUGAUAAACCUACAAGAAAAGUAGAUAAAAGUAGGGUACGGGAUAGAGCACUAUGAAAAGGUAGGAUAAAAAAUUAAAUAUAAUUAUUAAAUAAUAAAUAAUAAAGACAAAAUGAAAAGAAAAUAUUAAGGUAACGACGCGAUCACACCAAAUCGAUUGUUACUUAAAAUUGUUCUUUUCGUCGUCACCUAACCAUGAAUUUAAUGAUACGAUACAAUAAAAUUUAAGUAAUAAUCAAAACAAACAUUGUAUUUAAAAUAACAAUACAAUACAAUACAACGAAUAACAACCGUCCAAACAAGGUGUAAAUGUUGAGGUUAAUUACAUCUAUUGAGCCAUCUCUAAUUAAAAAGCCUAGACUUCAUACGGGGCGGGAUUUUAAGUUGAUAGGUUCAAAAUCAAAUAUUUAGUUAAUGUUACGUUGUUUGCACAUAUAUAUUCAAGUAAUAAAGAGAAUUGAAUUUAGUUGAACUCAUAACUCUAAAACUAUACUUGCCACUGUUAAUGAUGUUGAAACCGGAUAACCGUGUGUUUGUUCAUGCAUGGUGAUUGGUGUUCAUGGUUUCGAAAUUCGGAUCCUUCGGUCCUAUAACUUUUACAUUAUUUAAUAAAUAUAAAAGAGUUAAAAAUACCUUUAAAGUAUGAAAAAUCAUUAAGUUUGCCUUUCGUUAAUAGUUUGGAUUAAUCAUGCAUGUCUCUACCGUUAAUUAAUUAGACCAAAAUUGGUCUUAUUUUACAUGAUAAAACUUAAUAUUAGAGUAAUAAGAGUAUAUUCGACUUACACGCAUAUAUACUUUUAAGAGCAAUCUAGUCCAAUUUAGUUCCUAGUAACUUUAGUGAUGCAAUAAAAUGUAAACUUACAUUUAUAAAAUAAAUUGAUUAAAGUAGAAUAAAUAUACUCAGUAAUUUAAGGCAUCUGAGAGAUACAUUAUAAGUUGUUUUAAAUAAUUUGAUGUGUCAUUUGUACAAUUUAAACAUAUUCUAAGAAAUCGGCAAAGAUAUUUUUAAGAUUUUAAUGACAUGAUUUUAAAAGGUCGAUACUAGAUGUAAGAAAUAAUUUAAUUUAAAUUCUAAUUUAUUUAUUUGGAUUAUGAACAACUUCCCACUUACAAUUUCAGAUUUGGAGGUAAUUAAGAGGGGUGGGGUGGACCUUCAAAUCGAGAGUAUACAUGUGGUCAUCCAUCCAACCACUAAGAUGUCCCCAAGUCACUAUCAUUUUUCAUUCGAAAGAUUAUUUAAAAAAAAAUAAAAAAAGUAGAAGAUAAUCCACUUCAGAUAACUACGUCUUUGCUAAGUAAUGUAUGGAAUGAUUGAGAAUGAGAUUAUUUGGAUAUAUAAUUUAUAAGUCAAGAGUAGAGUUAUCCAAUUGUCUAAUUCAAUAAUUGAAAAGCUUAAGUCAUCGAUGACGACCUUUUAAAAUUGUUCGCAUAAUUCACUUAGACAUCUAAUUAACUAGAAUUAGUACCUAUUAAACACUUAAAUUAUUCAAAGUGUACCAAUCAAACACAAAAUGUUGAUGUGGCAAAAAAUGUUCUUUUCACUUUUAUUGGGCGGAUGAAAGAAUUUCGAAUAAUAUUUUUGUUUUUGUUUUAUAAAGAGCUUGCCUAUUUUUAUUGACAUUUGGCACUAAAUAAAUAACUAAAAAAAAAAUUUUAGUUAUUUUUAAAGAUAAUAUUUUUUUUUAAUAAAAACGGAAAAGUAACUCUGGUCGUUAUCUUCUUUAAGGAUCAAAUUCACACACUUCGAAUAAUUGAAUGUUAAAUAUGCAUAGUCAAAUAACAUAGGGACGAACAUUGAAAUUAUGUAAUAAUACAAGAAUUAAAUCGCUAUUUUUAUGUUAUCACUUUAUUUGUAUUUUUUCUUCAUAAUAUCAGCAUGUGAGAUACACACAUAACAUUCUAUAAACCGAUUGUUAUUUGUGUUUAAUAGAUAUAAAUUGGUCAAAAUUAGAGUGUUCAAGAUGUACAUGUCCUAAUUAAAGAGGCUUGAUAAAAUAUGAAAGCAACUUCAAAUGGAGUGAUAACUUAAAUUUAAUUGAAAUUUUCAAACAAGCCAUUAGUGAGAUAUCACUUUUGAAGGCUUAGAAUUCUAGCCUUGUGUCAAGACUUACGGACCAAGGGACAGUCUCAGGUAGACAAUUUCUAUGGGGCGUAGGCCUCCCAAAAAGUUAUGAAAGUGUGCGAAAGUUUCCUCGGGGCGAAUAAAGAUUGGCCAUCGAGUGCAAAGGUAGAAGGGAGUUUGACUGCAACACCCACUUGUCGAGUAGGAACGAAAGUCGACUUUAGUGAUCCGAUGAUGUCGAAUGGAAGGAUAGUGACUCAACGGAUAAAAGUUACUCUAGGGACAACAAGUUGAUCUUCCCCGAGAGUUCACAUUGACGGGAAGGGUUGGAACCUUGAUGUCGGCUCUUUGCCACCUAGGGAUGUAGUAUGUUCCAAGGGUUGGGUUGUUCGCCUAUUAAAGCAGUACGUGAGUUGGGUGCAGAACAUCAAGAGACAGUUUGGACUUUGGUCCAUAUCUGAUGUGAGCAUUAGAGCAUUGAGAGGAUCUUUCUUUAGUACGAGAGGAUGGAAAAUUACUUUCAUGUUCAAUUUAGAAAGCACUUUUUUCAUUGAAAAUUCAUCAUACCUAACAGCGAAUUUCAAACUUGCAAAAAUCCUGCAAUAUCCAUGAAAUAAAGAGAUUUGUAUAAUUUCAAGUUCAUUAAUUAAUUUCACAAAUGAGCAUUCAAAUCAUAAAAAUUAACCAUAUAAUGUUAUUAUUGAUUUCUUAUCCAAUUGUCUAAUUCAAUAAUUGAAAGGUUUAAGUCAUCGAUAACGACCUUUUAAAAUUGUUCGCA
rnacentral:rRNA from 1 species